rnacentral:misc_RNA from 1 species
AUCUUUCAAGGAAAAUGAAAAGCAUACUCUUGUUCACUUGAUUUUUGCCUUGUUACAAAGAAGAAUCAAAGAUUAUUUUCAACUGGUAAGUUGUUAUGAAGGUUUUGAGACCUUUGAGUUGGAGAAAAUGUCAAAAUGGAAGGUGUGUGUUUCUUCUCCUUGUGGAUUUUCUAAAAUUGGUUUUCCUUAUAAUUUUAUUGGCAGAAACUCUUGAACCAGAAGUGA